UACGUAGGGUGCAAGCGUUGUUCGGAAUCAUUGGGCGUAAAGCGCGUGUAGGCGGUUAGUUAAGUCGAUUGUGAAAUCCCUCGGCUCAACCGAGGAAGUGCAGUCGAAACUAGCUAGCUAGAGGACGGCAGAGGAAGGUGGAAUUCCAAGUGUAGAGGUGAAAUUCGUAGAUAUUUGGAGGAAUACCUGUGGCGAAGGCGGCCUUCUGGACCGGUCCUGACGCUGAGACGCGAAAGCGUGGGGAGCAAACAGG
rnacentral:rRNA from 1 species